ensembl:lncRNA
GAACUGGACUGUCAAAGUGGUGAUAGGUCUUAUGGAGUGAUGAAACCAAAUGCGAAAUUUGGGUUCAAAUUGUUGUCAACAUGCAUUCAGGAGGUCAGAAGAAAUGUACAUAUCUACAACCAUCUGUAAAAACACAGUGGAAACUAUGUCAUGAUUUGCCAGUGGAUUUGGGGAUCUUGUCAAAAUUGAUGGAAUUAUAAAUGUAGAAAUACACUGUCGGAUUCUUAUCCACCAUUCAGAACCAUCUGGAAAGAGUCUGAUUGGCAAGAGCUUCAUUUUUCAGCAUGACAAUGAUCCCAAGCACAGUGCCAAUGCAGUAAAUCCAUACUUGGAUAGAAACACACAAUGGAACAUGUCCAGUCAGUCACCUCGACAUAAUUGAAGCAGUCAAUGGUCAUGUGGUUAGAGAACAGCCAACAUCCAAAGCCACAAUCCAAAGAAGAGAUUUAAAUGUACUUCAGGAAGCCUGGAGAGCUAUUCCUGAAGACGUUUUUAAAGAAAUUGCCUAAGAGAGUUCAGGCUGUGUUGAGGAAUGAUUGUAACCAUGUCAAAUAUUGACUUUCAAACUUGUUAGAAUCUCUUUUUGUAAUUUAUGUUUGUACAUUUUUUUACAUUUUUCAGUAAAUUGCUGCACCUAUAUUCUAUUUUCCUAGCAAAAAAAAAAAAAAAAUUAGUGGUGCUUUUUGCACAGUACUGUACAUCCACCAUGAGACAUCUAAAUGUUAUACUUAAUAAUAAAUAUGAACACUUAGGUUCAAGUAAGGGGCAAGCUUAUUUUCUCCUUCUUUUAAACUCUAGAUAAGAAGAUCUGUUUCUUUAAAUUUCCAAAGGCAACAACAUUACCCCUCCCCCCUUUUUACAAUUUCACUCAUAUUUAGGGUAGUUUUAAUUUGAACAAUGAAAUCCAGCACUUUGACUGUCUUCCAAGAGACACUGUCUGAAAAUGUGCGCCUUCAUCUCCAUAUUUAAAUGAUCACCCAUGAAAUCUGGCUUCUCCCUGUGCCAGGAUGGCCAUUUGGAGCGGCUAUAAACACGUCUGAUUUCCAGUGUGACUAGACAACUCAUCACCCUUCUUUUCUAACAGAACCAAGACUUUAAUCAAGAAAAGAAAGAAAAGGCCUCAUGUAUAGAUUGUAAAUCAGUCUACUGUUAAGUCUGGUGCCAAGGCUUUCACGAA